GUUUCCUUAGUGUAGCAGUUAGCACAUCUGUUUUACAUGCAGAAAGUUCUGGGUUUGUGUCCCAGUGGAGCCA
rnacentral:tRNA from 1 species